rnacentral:rRNA from 1 species
UUUACUAAGCAAAUCUCCUUGUCAAAGCCUGAUUUCGUCAGAUUUCGGAAGCUAAGCAGGGCUGGGUGUGGUUAGUAUUUGAAUGGCAAAACUUGUUGUGUCCUUAGGCAAA